UUUGCUACAUGCUUGUUGAUGAUGGUUGCCUAAUUAUAAAUGCAUAGAAACUAUUGUAAAGUAUUCCUUAAAUAAUAUUAUUUGCGCCAUUAAAGGAAGGAAAAUAAUUCAAUGGAGGAAGAAAAAGGAGGAGCUAAAGCACUUUGAUUGGUCCCAUAUCAUGUGUCCGUAAUUAGCAGCCCCAUUUUUUUGAUUAAUUCCAUCUUUCACUAUCCCCUUUCCUCCUCUCUUCAAUUAUUCCUUAAUUAAUCUCCUCUGUAUACACACUAGCUAGUACUAAUUUAUUAGCAAACUGAGGCCUGGUAAAAUUUGAUGGAUUAAUUAAGAUAUCGUAUUUAUUAUUGUGUUAUCUUAUCAUGUCUAGUGAUCACAAGAGAAGAGAGCCAGGAGGUGAAGCGGCUGGUUCAUCAUCCAGUACUCAGCAGCAGCAGCAGCACCCAGCACCUCAGUUGAGUCGAUACGAGUCGCAGAAGCGGCGUGAUUGGAACACGUUUGGACAGUAUCUGAAGAACCAGAGGCCUCCGGUUGCUAUGUCACAGUGCAACUAUAGUCAUGUGUUGGAAUUUCUUCGGUAUUUGGAUCAGUUCGGGAAGACUAAGGUUCAUGCCCAAGGUUGUGGUUACUUUGGACACCCUGAUCCAGCUGGCCCUUGUACUUGUCCUCUUCGGCAAGCUUGGGGGAGCCUGGAUGCGCUCAUUGGACGGCUCAGGGCCGCGUAUGAAGAGAACGGGGGAGCCCCGGAGACGAACCCUUUUGCUAGCGGCGCCAUUCGGGUCUACCUGAGGGAGGUCAGAGAUUCGCAAGCCAAAGCUCGAGGAAUUCCUUAUAAAAAGAAGAAGAAAAAGAGAAUCACUAAUCCGUUGAAGGCCAGUACUGAGGAGGCUGCUUCCACCACUUUUCACUUGCCCUCUUCUUAAUUCUGUGCUUCACCAAAAAUUCCUGCUCGAAAAUAAAGGCUUCAACUGAUCCGCCGCAAGCUCCACGGCUAGUUUCGCAUGCAUGGAGGUUGAUCACAUCCUCACUGCCAGCGUACAAACUUAAUUAUAUGCAUGCUCAUCUUAUCAUCUGUCCUCUUUAAUUUUCAGUUGCUUCAUAUAUAAUUAUAAUGAAACUACUUUACAUGAAUAAGUAUAUUUGUAUAAACGCUUUAAGUUAAUAUUGUAGUUUAAGCAGGGACUGGGCACUUGGGGUACAUCUAUACGAGUGUUGCUUUAUCUCUUAA